rnacentral:rRNA from 1 species
UACAACGCACUACCUGUUCAUAGUAGUCGUUGCUGUCAACAGCACACUGCUCACCAUCAACGCAGGGGACUACAUAUUCUACACAGACUGGGCGUGGACGUCCGUCGUUGUUUUCUCGGUGUCGGCAUUAACGUGUCGUGACGAAGGCUCAUUAUAUUACAUGUCAUUCCUAUGUGUUCCAGGAACCGCACCCUAUCAAUCCCACAUUAUGACCACCCCAAACCACGUGCGAACUGCGACAUGGUUAUCACAUUGCUACCCUACCGAUUCAGUCGCGGACACAAGCACGACCAACCACGCUGCCUUACUGAUUGGCGGUUCGCUGUUUAGCCUAUACUUCCCGCUCAUCAACAGGUGCAACCUGUUUCUUGUAAGGGCCCCGCUCGAGGUGGCCUUCAAGGAUCCAAUACCGACUCGUCCCGCGUACAUGACGCCUAUAGAGCCUCAGGUAGGGAAGUUCUACAACUCGCCUGUCGCCCUGGGUUCAGGUGCCGGUGCAGUGCUAACGGUACCCAUCGCUGCGUUGGGUGCAAAACUAAACACGUGG